CCUACGGGAGGCAGCAGUGGGGAAUUUUGGACAAUGGGCGAAAGCCUGAUCCAGCAAUGCCGCGUGCAGGACGAAGGCCUUCGGGUUGUAAACUGCUUUUGUACGGAACGAAACGGUCUCUUUUAAUACAGGGGGCUAAUGACGGUACCGUAAGAAUAAGCACCGGCUAACUACGUGCCAGCAGCCGCGGUAAUACGUAGGGUGCAAGCGUUAAUCGGAAUUACUGGGCGUAAAGCGUGCGCAGGCGGUUAUAUAAGACAGAUGUGAAAUCCCCGGGCUCAACCUGGGACCUGCAUUUGUGACUGUAUAGCUAGAGUACGGUAGAGGGGGAUGGAAUUCCGCGUGUAGCAGUGAAAUGCGUAGAUAUGCGGAGGAACACCGAUGGCGAAGGCAAUCCCCUGGACCUGUACUGACGCUCAUGCACGAAAGCGUGGGGAGCAAACAGGAUUAGAUACCCUGGUAGUCCACGCCCUAAACGAUGUCAACUGGUUGUUGGGUCUUCACUGACUCAGUAACGAAGCUAACGCGUGAAGUUGACCGCCUGGGGAGUACAGCCGCAAGGUUGAAACUUAAAUGAAUUGACGG
rnacentral:rRNA from 1 species